rnacentral:rRNA from 1 species
AUGGCCGGGGGAGGGAACAGGAAAGGGUCUGGCGCCGAGGAGCUGAGGAUCGGCAGCGGCAACGUGUUCGCGGCGCUCGAGACGCUCAAGAAGAAGAAGAAGAAGCCGGCGGCGGCCGAGAAGAAGCAGGCGCCGGUGGUGGAAAAGCCGGAGGUGUUCUGGGCGCCCGCGCCGCUCACGGCCAAGUCCUGGGCCGACGUUGAGGACGAUGACGAUGAUGACUACUUCGCCGCCACCGCGCCGCUGUGCCCCGUCCGGGAGGCCCAGGGGGACGACGCUGAUGCCGGCCAUGAGGACGACAAGGAGCAUUCUGCCCUUGAACAGGAAAUUGAGAGUGAAGAUGAUAGCCUUGAUGAUGAGGUUGAUGCCGCUGCUGAGGAUGAACAUGAAGCAGGAGAUGCUGUCCCUUCUGAGCUGUCUGUUCAGAAAGCUGUAGCUCCACUAGUACCUCCUAAAGAAACGGAAAGACAGCUAUCCAAGGAGUUAAAGAAAAAGGAGUUGGAAGAGCUUGAUGCUGUAUUGGCUGAGUUGGGAAUUUCACAUGAAUCAAGUAAUGCUACUCAAGAUGAAACAAAUGACAAGGAAGGUAUGGGUCAGGCUGCUGAUGGAGGGAAAAAGGAAGAUGCAUCCGCUCCUCUGGAGAGUAAGACCUCCAAGAAGAAGAAAGCUAAGAAAGACAAGUCCUCAAAGGAGGCAGAAGAAACACUGGAUCAGAACAAUGUGGUCGACGAUGCUGCUGGUGCGGAACCUGAUGAAGAUGUUGCUUCAGUGGAUGUCAAGGAGCGCAUAAAGAAGGUAGCAUCAAUGAAGAAAAAGAAGUCGAGCAAAGAGAUGGACGCAGCAGCAAAGAUUGCAGCAUCUGAGGCGGCCGCUAGGAGAGCAAAGCUUGCGGCAGCAAAGAAGAAAGACAAGAACCACUAUAAUCAGCAGCCCGUGCGGUGA